UUGAUGAGCAUGAGGGACAAAAUCAUGAAGCAGAAUCAUGGGGAGAGAGAAUGACAGCUGUGAGGUCAAUCUGGGUCUGCAGUCAGAGCCUGUUGUUGGAACCUGCAGCCACAGUCUAGCUACGUAAAAGGCUGCAGUCGCAGUCCAGCUGGGGAAAAGCCUGCAUCAGAGUCUGCAAGCUGAUACCUGCAGUCACAGUCUAGCCAGGCUCAUUUUUACUCUCUAAUAAGAGGGUGUUGCAACACAGGGGGUCUUUCUUCCCGUGCUCUGUUAAGCCUCUCCAUGUCAGGGACAAGGACAUCCACACCAGCCCCCACAGAUGGAGCGACACGUGUCCUGCCUGCAGCUCCUGCCACCUCAGCACGCACCCAACAGGAGGGGCAUCUACAGGAAGGAGUCAAAAGAAAUGUGAUGAUGUGAUGAUGGAUCAGGGGAUUCUGGCCUGGCUCAUUGCCCAAAGGAUGCCACAUCCCUGCCCAGUCCCAUCCAUGCUGCCCACUGGACCCUGCCAUACCCAGAAAUGCCAAAGGAAGGGGACCCACCACCCACGGAAGGGGUUUCUGCCUAAGCCACACACAGCAUUGUUGGGAGCACCCCUGGUUGAGGGCAGACCGCUCCUGGGAGCGCAGAGGCUGAUGGACAGGCAGAGAGAUGUUAUUUAGGGCAGGCACUGGACAGGGGGAGCGGCACAGAGCCCAGUCAGAAGCCCCAUGAAGAGGAAAUUACACAGAUGGAGCCUGCUGGUCAGGAGGGCACAUGUCACUUGUCACUCCGGGCUGGAGAAGGGCACCAUCUGUCCCACCCACGUCACUGGAAACACCCUCGGUGCCACACCGCCUCCGACCCCCAGCGCCAGGCUGACCAUCCCACCCCACCACCACGAGCCCCUGAGCCAGGGAGCAGCAGCUGCUAAUGGGUGCCUUGGACUGGAACCAGAGGAGAUGUUACUGGGAGAACAGCUCAAGGGAUGCAGGGCUCUGAUGAAUCAGCUGCUCCCAGCGUCUCCCUCCACUCUGGCCCUCAUUGCUCUGCCCCACACUUGAGGUGUCCCCCCAUGAUUAAUUCGAGUACAAAAGUAGGAACGAGACCAAAACUUUCCAAAGGAAACCAUAAAGCACCACAUAGCAAAGAGUGUUUUAGCUCCACGCAUCCCCGCUGCGAGCUGGGUUUCCAAACUCACAUGGAAAGCUCCUGUUUCAGUCAAAACUACCUGCAGGUGCUGCUCAGCACAAGCAGCAAACAAUUCCAGCCCGGGAACUCACAAUGUCAGGCACACCAGUGCCACUCCACUUCUGCCUCAGGCACUGGCAGGCAGCACCAAGGACCCACACAGGGUAGGUGAGGAUAAUCCUUCUUUUGCACCAGUCCACCAGUGGCACCAUGUGGGCACCAUCCUGGGAUGGCUCUGGGAGCUGCUGCCUCUUCAGUGCCAGGGGGAGCUAGAUGGGGAGCGCAGGUCAGUCACAGCUCCUCCAGCAGCUUUUGGAGCCUCACAGGGUUCAAAGUGCCCUCCACGAGGGCCAAAAUCCCAAGUGGAGGCAGAGGCAAACUGUGAUACCAUCCCUGACAAAAAGGAGUAGUGGAUGGGAAGACAUCCAGAGCCCCACAGCAUCCUGGCUCCUUGGGUUUUGCAACCAGCACAUGCUAAUAAAUUAAUUAUUGAGUAAAUUACAACCCCGUGGUUCCAACCCACCCCAGUCCCUCCCAAGGCACUUUCUGAAAGAGGCAAAGGAGCACAGAACACCUGCAAAGAUUUGAUGCUUGCUGUCCUCCAAACAGCAAAGCUGGCAGGGUGGGCUGUGCAGGGCACAACCAGGUCUCUGUCACCUCACCACUGGCCACGUGCAGCCCCAAGUUCCUGUCCCCUCCUGUCAAUGCUGCAGGUGGAUUUGACCAUGCCCAGAUGCAUCCAGGGAGCUGGUGAAGGCAGCAGAGGCAGGGCAGAGGAACAACGGGCUCAGCCACUGCUGGGCACAUCUGAGCCCAGACACAUCCCUCUACCAAGCACUACUGGCACAUUUUGCUAGGAAACAUCUGUGUCCAAACAGGCAGUGACCCUUGCCUGCCUCCAGCACCCCAUGGGGCUGUGGGCCCAGGCCACGCUCCCUCCCACCUUACCAGAGACAAGGCAAGCCUCACAAAAGCACAAGGGGAAGAAAAAGCCACACCAGCUGCCAUCCCCCUUUCAGGGACCACUCAGUUAAGCAAAGAAAGGCCUCAUCCC